GAGUUAUGUCAUGUUAUCGAUAUGUGAAUACAUAGCAUAUCAGAAGGCACACCCGGAGAACUGAAACAUCUUAGUACCCGGAGGAAGAGAAAGAAAAUUCGAUUUCCUUAGUAGCGGCGAGCGAAACGGGAAGAGCCCAAACCAACAAGCUUGCUUGUUGGGGUUGUAGGACACUCUAUACGGAGUUACAAAGGACGACAUUAGACGAAUCAUCUGGAAAGAUGAAUCAAAGAAGGUAAUAAUCCUGUAGUCGAAAAUGUUGUCUCUCUUGAG
rnacentral:rRNA from 1 species